rnacentral:rRNA from 1 species
GAUGAACGCUGGCGGCGUGCCUAAUACAUGCAAGUCGAGCGAACGGACGAGAAGCUUGCUUCUCUGAUGUUAGCGGCGGACGGGUGAGUAACACGUGGAUAACCUACCUAUAAGACUGGGAUAACUUCGGGAGACCGGAGCUAAUACCGGAUAAUAUUUUGAACCGCAUGGUUCAAAAGUGAAAGACGGUCUUGCUGUCACUUUUAGAUGGAUCCGCGCUGCAUUAGCUAGUUGGUAAGGUAACGGCUUACCAAGGCAACGAUGCAUAGCCGACCUGGGAGGGUGAUCGGCCACACUGGGACUGAGACACGGUCCAGACUCCUACGGGAGGCAGCAGUAGGGAAUCUUCCGCAAUGGGCGAAAGCCUGACGGAGCAACGCCGCGUGAGUGAUGAAGGUCUUCGGAUCGUAAAACUCUGUUAUUAGGGAAGAACAUAUGUGUAAGUAACUGUGCACAUCUUGACGGUACCUAAUCAGAAAGCCACGGCUAACUACGUG